rnacentral:rRNA from 1 species
CAGCCCUAAACGAUGCGCGUUAGGUGUAUCGGUGACCACGAGUCACCGAGGUGCCGAAGGGAAACCGUGAAACGUGCCGCCUGGGAAGUACGGUCGCAAGGCUGAACUUAAAGGAAUUGGCGGGGGAGCACCACAACGGGUGGAGCCUGCGGUUUAAUUGGACUCAACGCCGGGAAGCUCACCGGAUAAGACAGCGGAAUGAUUGCCGGGCUGAAGACCCUGCAUGACCAGCUGAGAGGAGGUGCAUGGCGUAGACGUCU